rnacentral:rRNA from 1 species
UACGAUGAAGAGUUUGAUCCUGGCUCAGGAUGAACGCUAGCGGCAGGCCUAACACAUGCAAGUCGAGGGGUAGAAGAAGCUUGCUUUUUUGAGACCGGCGCACGGGUGAGUAACGCGUAUGCAACCUACCUUAUACAGGGGAAUAGCCCGAAGAAAUUCGGAUUAAUGCUCCAUGGUUUAUCGAUAUGGCAUCGUAUUGAUAAUAAAGAUUUAUCGGUAUAAGAUGGGCAUGCGUAUCAUUAGCUAGUUGGUGUGGUAACGGCAUACCAAGGCAACGAUGAUUAGGGGUCCUGAGAGGGAGAUCCCCCACACUGGUACUGAGACACGGACCAGACUCCUACGGGAGGCAGCAGUGAGGAAUAUUGGUCAAUGGAGGCAACUCUGAACCAGCCAUGCCGCGUGCAGGAUGACGGUCCUAUGGAUUGUAAACUGCUUUUGUACAGGAAGAAACCUCCCUACGAGUAGGGACUUGACGGUACUGUAAGAAUAAGGAUCGGCUAACUCCGUGCCAGCAGCCGCGGUAAUACGGAGGAUCCGAGCGUUAUCCGGAAUUAUUGGGUUUAAAGGGUUCGUAGGCGGCUUUGUAAGUCAGUGGUGAAAUUUCCUAGCUUAACUAGGACACUGCCAUUGAUACUGCAGAGCUUGAAUAAUAUGGAAGUAACUAGAAUAUGUAGUGUAGCGGUGAAAUGCUUAGAUAUUACAUGGAAUACCAAUUGCGAAGGCAGGUUACUACGUAUUUAUUGACGCUGAUGAACGAAAGCGUGGGGAGCGAACAGGAUUAGAUACCCUGGUAGUCCACGCCGUAAACGAUGGAUACUAGCUGUUCGGUUUUCGGACUGAGUGGCUAAGCGAAAGUGAUAAGUAUCCCACCUGGGGAGUACGUUCGCAAGAAUGAAACUCAAAGGAAUUGACGGGGGCCCGCACAAGCGGUGGAGCAUGUGGUUUAAUUCGAUGAUACGCGAGGAACCUUACCAGGGCUUAAAUGUAGAUUGACAGAUUUGGAAACAGAUUUUUCUUCGGACAAUUUACAAGGUGCUGCAUGGUUGUCGUCAGCUCGUGCCGUGAGGUGUCAGGUUAAGUCCUAUAACGAGCGCAACCCCUAUUGUUAGUUACCA